UCUGCUUGCUGUUAUAGGUAUGUUUGCACUGAACUUUUACUUGGCUUCGUUUGGCCCAAAUAUUUGAUCCCUGUUUGCUGUCGCUUCUCGGGAGGGACGUCAUAUCCAUGUUGUCCUUCAACAAGGUCGCAUCCUACUAGUCGCGGACGAACGAACAUGGGUGCCAUAUGGAGAUGACCUGAAGGAUCCAAUGCUCCAAGACGUCUCCCUGCGGUGACUCACUGCUGCAUUAGUUGGCUAAUUUCGAGACGGGGGAAUUAUUCAGCGAUUAUAGCGACCAGCCUGAUGGAUGAAUCUGGCCCAAUUUGGUGAAAACACUGCCCGAUUAGUAAUUUUGAAGAUCACUCGAGUGUUGAUGUGGCGAUGAGGUUAAUCUGGACCUUUCACCCAUGGUAACACCAAAACUGUAUCGAAUUCCCCAUUCUUGGAAGCGAGG
rnacentral:sRNA from 1 species